rnacentral:lncRNA from 10 species
UCCUGUGUUCCUUUUAUUUAUUUAUUUAUCUUAAAAUAUUAUACAUAUCUUUAUAUUUUCUGAGUCCUGGCUCAAACCAGUAUCAACCUGCUUCCUGCUUUUUUCUUUAAUGUGUUAGAUUUUAAAAAAUUGAUACACGAUCGAUAUACAUAAUUUGGGGGCACAUGUGAUAAUUUAAUACAUUCAUGUAAUUUGUACAGAUCAAAGCAGUAUAGCUGGGUAUCUAUCACUUUAAAUAUUUGUCUUUGUUGUAUACUAGAAACAUCUGGAUUAUUCUCUUCUAGUUAUUUUGAAAUAUGUAAUAGAUUAUUGUAAACUAUAGUCACCCCACUGAUCUGUCAAACACUAGGUCUUAUUUUUUUUUUCUGUCAAACUAUCUAUUGGUACCUACUAACCAAGCUCUCUUCAUCCCCCUCCAGUGGUGCUUACUAAAAAUUGAAUAAACGUGGAAAAGAGAAAAUCUCCCUCUUUAAAAGGAACACUGUUGUGGACAUUUUAAAAUGCAAACGCCUUGGCUGGAAGUCAGAAAUCGUGUUCUCUCUGCUAAACCUGGUGUAGCAUUUAACACGCUUGAAGUGGAGGCAUCUGGUCACCAAUUUCACAGCCUGGACAGAGCAAGAAGGUGCGGCUGGUUUAGGAGGCGGCCUGCCGGGGGGGAUCGUCUGUCCAUCUGGGCUUGGUAAAUGUCAAGGGUCAUUUCCCUGUCCUGACAUUUGAUUGUGAAGCAGGUUGCGAGGUAACUCUUUCAAGGGACUGGACUGUGACAGUCACCAUAGUUGGACAAUAAAACCCGAACAUCCUUCACCAUCUUCUUUAACAAUGGGA